rnacentral:misc_RNA from 1 species
GCACUUACUUGAGUAAGCUCAUCAGGGUAACUUGAAUGAUUUACGUAUAGUUAGGCCAUCAUGUACGACAAUGGUUCCCGUAAGGAGUGUAAAACUAAGUCAGUACUAAACCACGAGGGCAUGAACGCCAGGCAGGCUAAUGUACCACCAGUUAUUUACUCGCGCCCAGAAAUUCUUUAUCAAGAAGCGUAAAUAUUUCUCCCGUAGCAAAAAUAAGCUAAUCAUUAUUUUUAAUGCAUUGUUUUUACAGUGAUAAUUUUAUUUCAGACGAAGGUUAUUGAAAAAUGAUUAGAAAAAUAAAAUGUGAGAUAAAUGUUAUGGAAAUGACGUGCUGAUAAGGUUUAUCUUAAAGGAGAAGUGAGAGGGACCGUAAGGCUAUAUGGAAG